rnacentral:rRNA from 1 species
UACGUAGGUGGCAAGCGUUGUCCGGAUUUACUGGGCGUAAAGAGCGCGCAGGCGGUCGUUCAAGUCGCGUGUGAAAGCCCCCGGCUCAACUGGGGAGGGUCACGCGAUACUGAUCGACUCGAAGGCAGGAGAGGGAAGUGGAAUUCCCGGUGUAGCGGUGAAAUGCGCAGAUAUCGGGAGGAACACCGGUGGCGAAGGCGGUUCUCUGGGCAGUAACUGACGCUGAGGAGCGAAAGCGUGGGGAGCGAACAGG